UAUUGUUGGUAUCAGUGUUGUUGGUGUUGGUUCCGGUGUUGGUUCUGGUGUUGGUAUUGUUGGUAUCAGUGUUGUUGGUGUUGGUUCCGGUGUUGUCGGUGUCGGUGUUGCUGGUAUCGGUGGUGUUGGUGUUGUUGCCGGUGCCAGUCUUGGUGUCAGUGUUGGUUUUGGUGCCGGUGCCGGUGUUGUUGGUGUUGUUGGUACCAGUGCUGGUGUCGGUGCUGUUGGUGUUGGUCCCAGUGUCAGUGUUGUUGGUGUCGGUGUUGCCGGUGCCGGUGUUGGUGUCAGUGUUGGUGUUGUUGGUGCUGGUGCCGGUGUUGCUGUUGCCAGUGCCAGUGUUGGUGUCGGUGUUGGUGGUGCCGGUGUUGGUGGUAUCGGUGUUGGUGUCGGUGCCAGUGUUGGUGUUGUUGGUGUUGGUGUCGUCGGUGCCGGUGUUGGUCCCGGUGCCGGUGUUGUUGUUGGUGUUGGUGCCGGUGUUGGUGUUGUUGCUGUUGUUGUUGUCGGUGCCGGUGUUGGUGCCAGUGUUGGUUCUGGUGUUGGUGUUGUUGGUAUCAGUGUUGUUGGUGUCGGUGGUGUUGGUGUUGGUUCCAGUCUUGGUGUCAGUGUCGGUGUUGUUGGUGUUGUUGGUGUCGGUGUUGUUGGUGUCGGUGUUGUUGGUGUCGGUGUUGGUGUCAGUGUCGGUGUUGUUGGUGUUGUUGGUGUCGGUGUUGUUGGUGUCGGCGUUGGUUCUGGUCUUGGUGUUGGUGUUGGUGUUGUUGGUGUUGGUUCCGUUGUUGGUGUCGGUGUCGGUGUUGUUGGUGUCAGUGUUGGUUCCAGUCUUGGUGUCAGUGUUGGUGCCGUUGGUGUCAGUGUCGGUGUUGUUGGUGUCGGUGUUGGUUCCGGUCUUGGUGUCAGUGUUGUUGGUGCUGUUGGUGCUGUUGGUGUUGGUGUUGUUGGUGUUGGUUGCGGUGUUGGUGUCAGUGUUGGUACCGGUGUUGUUGGUGCUGUUGCCGGUGUCGGUGUUGUUGGUGUCAGUGUUGUUGGUCCCGGUGCCAGUGUUGGUGUCGGUGUUGUUGGUGUCGGUGUCGGUGCUGUUGGUGUCAGUGUUGCUGGUGUCGGUGUUGUUGGUCCCGGUGCCGGUGUUGGUGUCGGUGUUGGUGUUGCCGGUGCCGGUGUUGGUGUCGGUGUCGGUGUUGGUGUCGGUGUUGGUGUUGGUGUUGCCGGUGCCGGUGUUGGUGUCGGUGUUGGUGGUGUUGGUGUUGGUGUCGGUGUUGUUGGUCCCGGUGCCGGUGCCGGUGUUGUUGGUGUCAGUGUUGUUGGUGUCGGUGUUGUUGGUCCCGGUGCCGGUGUUGGUGUCGGUGUUGGUCCCGGUGUUGUUGUUCUUGUUGCUGGUGGUGGUGUUGCCGGUGCCGGUGUUGGUGUCAGUGUUGGUGUUGCCGGUGCCGGUGUCGGUAUUGGUGUCGGUGUUGUUGGUCCCGGUGCCGGUGUUGUUGGUGUCGGUGUUGGUCCCGGUGCCGGUGUUGGUAUCGGUGUUGUUGGCGGUGCCGGUGUUGUCACGGUGCCGUGUCGGUGCCGGUUCUCAUGGUGACGUUCAGGGCCUGGAGCGCCGUGUCCCAGCCGCGCCGCAGCACCAGCACCUGGGGGGGCAGCGCUAUGGGGCGGCCCCGCAUCUAUGGGGCACGGCCCCGCAUCUAUGGGGCAUGGCCCCGCAUCUAUGGGGCACGGCCCUGCAUCUAUGGGGCACGGCCCUGCAUCUAUGGGGCACGGCCCUGCAUCUAUGGGGCGGCCCCGCAUCUAUGGGGCGGCCCUGCAUCUGUGGGGCGGCCCCGCAUCUAUGGGGCACGGCCCCACAUCUAUGGGGCAGCCCUCAAUCCAUGGGUCACCCCCUGAUCUGUGGGUCCGCCCCACAUCUAUGGGUCCACCCCACACCUGUGGGUGCGCCCCACACAUCUAUGGGUCCACCCCACACCUACAGGUCACCUCACAUCUAUGGGUCUGCCCCACAUCUAUGGGUCAGCCCCACACGUAUGGGUCCACCCCACACAUUUAUGGGACAGCCCCACAUAUCUAUGGGUCCGCCCCCCCACCUAUGGGUCCACCCCACAUAUCUAUGGGUCUGUCACCCACCUAUGGGUCUGCCCCACAUCUAUGGGUCACACCUGCCAUCUACAGAUCCGCCCCACACCUAUGGGUCAGCCCCACAUCUAUGGGUCUGCCCCACACCUACGGGUCCGCCCCACAUCUGUGGGUCCACCCCACACCUACGGAUCACCCCACGUCUAUGGGUCCGCCCCACAUCUAUGGGUCCGCCCCCCCACCUAUGGGUCCACCCCACACCUACGGAUCACCCCACAUCUAUGGGUCCGCCCCACAUCUAUGGGUCCGCCCCACACCUACGGGUCACCCCACAUCUAUGGCACAGCCCCACGUCUACGGGUCCGCCCCACAUCUAUGGGUCUGCCCCACAUCUAUGGGUCUGCCCCCCCACCUAUGGGUACACCCCACACCUACGCAUCACCCCAAAUCUAUGGGUCCACCCCACACCUACGGGUCACCCCACAUCUAUGGGUCCGCCCCACACAGCUGUGGGGCAGCCGUGGCGCCGACCUGCAGUUCCGGGGGGGGGUUCCCUUUGUCCAUCUCCAUCCACGCCCCCACGGUGCAGCGCAGCC
rnacentral:lncRNA from 1 species